rnacentral:rRNA from 1 species
UACAGAGGUCUCAAGCGUUGUUCGGAUUCCUUGGGCGUAAAGGGUGCGUAGGUGGCGGGGUUAGUCAGGUGUGAAAUCUCGGGGCUCAACCCCGAAACUGCACUUGAUACUGCCUUGCUAGAGUACUGGAGAGGAGAUUGGAAUUUACGGUGUAGCAGUGAAAUGCGUAGAUAUCGUAAGGAAGACCAGUGGCGAAGGCGAAUCUCUGGACAGUUACUGACACUGAGGCACGAAGGCCAGGGGAGCAAACGGG